UAUAGGCUUGGUCCUGACCUUUCUAUUGGUUAUUAGCAAAAUUACACAUGCAAGAAUCCUCAUCCCAGUGAAAAUGCCCUCUACAUCAUUAAUGAUAAAAAGGCGCUGGCAUCAAGCACACAAAGUAGCUCAAGACGCCUUGCUCAGCCACACCCCCACGGGACACAGCAGUGAUAAAAAUUAAGCAAUAGACGAAAGUCUGACUAAGUUACGCUAUCUAAGGACUGGUAAAUCUCGUGCCAGCCACCGCGGUCAUACGAUUAGGCCAAACCAAUAGACAUUCGGCGUAAAGGGUGUUUUAGAGAUUAUACAUAAAUAAAGUUAAAACAUGACUAAGCUGUAAAAAGCUCCAGUUAUAUUUAAAUACAUCAACGAAAGUAACUUUAUGAAAUCUGACUACACAAUAGCUAAGACCCAAACUGGGAUUAGAUACCCCACUAUGCUUAGCCCUAAACAUAAAAAAUUAUAAACAAAAUUAUUCGCCAGAGUACUACUAGCCAAAGCUAAAAACUCAAAGGACUUGGCGGUGCCUUAUAUCCAUCUAGAGGAGCCUGUUCUAUAAUCGAUAAACCCCGAUCCACCUCACCAACCCUUGCCAAAUCAGCCUAUAUACCGCCAUCUUCAGCAAACCCUAAAAAGGAAGUAUAGUAAGCGCAAAUAUUGACAUAAAAACGUUAGGUCAAGGUGUAGCCUAUGGGUUGGAGAGCAAUGGGCUACAUUCCCCCAAUCCAGGGAAUCUUAUUCACGAAAACUAGUGUGAAAACCACAAGUUAAAGGUGGAUUUAGUAGUAAAUUAAGAAUAGAGUGCUUAAUUGAAUAAGGCCAUGAGGCGCGCACACACCGCCCGUCACCCUCCUCAAGUAAAACCCAUAGUAUAUCAAUAAUAAAACUAAUACAAAAGUACAAGAGGAGAUAAGUCGUAACAAGGUAAGUGUACUGGAAAGUGCACUUGGAUAACA
rnacentral:ncRNA from 1 species